GACAGAGGCCCCAAGCGUUAGGCGGAAUCACUGGGCUUAAAGCGUGUGUAGGCGGAUCGUUAAGUGUCUUGUGAAAUCCCACGGCUCACCCGUGGAACUGCUGGGCAUACUGGCGAUCUUGGGCCAACUAGGGGCAGCCGGAACAAGCGGUGGAGCGGUGAAAUGCGUAGAUAUCGCUUGGAACGCCGAAGGUGAAAACAGGCUGCUGGGGUUGCGCCGACGCUGAGACGCGAAAGCCAGGGGAGCAAACGGG
rnacentral:rRNA from 1 species